CGACGGUCAACGACGCUCCUCGACUCUAUUCCCGUUCGUCACCCAGCUCAACAGUCCACCUCGGUGCUCCACCACUGGUCCCUUGAAGAGCUGGCUGCAAGCCGUCCAUUGCUCCGCCCCUAGAUGCUGCCAUGUGGUGGUUGGCCGUCUCACUCCAAUGCACCUCCCUAUUUUUGUGCACUGGUCUCUCUCAAGACUGGAAGUUAUCCCUGAUGUACUCAACACAAGUUCAACAUCAUCAUCUAAAAAGGUUCGACGAUAUCAUCAUGAGGAAUUCAGAUAUUCAAAAGGAAGCAAAAAAGAAAAUCUAUUUACUCAGGGAUGCAGACAAAUUUCCGGAGCACAAUAGACUCAUCGGCGCAUCAGCGACCAUUCAUUCAACAACAGUUCAAUUACAAAAAGAACAUCAGUUCAAGAAAAUAUAUGCAAGAGGAGGUUCAAAGAUGGUCAUGUAGCAAGUUAAGAGUUUUGUUUCAUCAGAAAAUGUGUUCUUUUGGUCAGGAUUUUGCAUGAUUGAUAGCCAUAAGUGGCAGCCGGCGAGCAGUUCAAGCUGUCUGUUUGAUAGCCAUAAGGGAUGCUCAUCAUUUUCCACAUCCAUCUCGACUGAAUUAUGUUAGUCUUUUUCAGUUCAUCUUUGAAAUUUUGGUCCAUUUCUUUUUGCAGGAUGCGUCGAAAAAUAAAAUAAAAGGCAACAGCUCAAAAAUAGAUGAAUAUUGGAAGUCUGUUGCUAUCUUGAGGUGAUGGAGCUCCCUUUCAGUUCAUCUUGCAGGUGUUUUGGGCAGUACAAAAUACAUCACCAUAGUUAGUACAGCAAGGAUGGCUUGGUAGUCGCUGGGAUUCCCUGCAGUGGCCAAAUCCCGGCGCCGCUCGUGAUCUCUGCCUCCAUCAGCUCCACCUCGCCGUAGCAAUCAGUCCAGAGGAGGAGGUGUAGCUAGUCCACCUGGUCCACCCGAUUUUUCUUUCAACAUUUUCUUUGUGAUGCAUGCUCACUGAUGGAUCAACAACUAUUUAUUGAUAUGGAGAUGCGCUCCUGCUUUUUUUGAAAAACAAGAUGCCUUUGCAUACUUCAAAGUUGCUGCUUGCUCCCACCUGUCAAUUGCGCAAGUUCAGUGGGUGUCGUUGAGCAUGUUCAGAAGUAUGCCCUUUGUGCAAAAGUGUGAAUUUUUGUCAGUAUUUUGUAUAUUUCAUAUCAGAGGCUUCAUGUGAUCUUGUGGACCUUUAUAGAUGUACUGUCAUUACAC